GAUCUCACUCCCUCCCUCACUUUGUCUCUCUCGUCUUCCCUCCUACCGGCAAACCAGUGACACCGAUGGUGGACCACCGAACUCCAGUGUCAACCGGUAAGCUCCACGGCGGCCGGCGAAGAUCUGAUGUGUUUUGGAGGAGAGAGAGUGACACGAAUCAUCACCUUCUAAGGUCGAUUUCGAUGGCUCUUGGUAGCAGCUAGACCUGUAACUGGUGGCAAAUGACUCCUCUACCCUCUAGGUUCCUUUUCCGACCUCUCUCACUAGAUUCCAUAGAGUUUUCUGGCAAUGGAGAGAAGAGAGAGAAAAUGGGUGAUAGCAGCUUUCUAGCCAUUUUCUCAAUGAUCUGACCUUUGGAUCAAAAAUCCAAGACCACCGUUGAACUCAGAGCGACGAAACCUUUGAGAUGAAACUGGCUCCGCUCUAAUCAGACACCGUUUGAAAAAAGCGAUCAUUGGAAGAUUUAAAUUAGUUGGCGCAAUUAGAUCAGUGACAACUCGCUGGCACUUGAGAUUGAGUUCAGUCCGGUCUGGGUGUUCGGCCGGUUGUCCCAAAAAAGGAUUAUAUUUAUAGCCAUUCCUAGCAUUUUUAGACAUUUCGGAUGUAUUUCAGAUAGCAGAAUUUGUAAAGGAGGGUUUGGUCCAGUUAUAGGGGAGACUCUGCCGAAAUUUCAGUGAUCAGUACCGACUAACUUUUCUUCUUUCCAGCCGAACCAGCUGCAAUCGAGUCAACCAGUGUGUGAGUUGGAUAUCGAUUUUACUUGUAAUUUCAAUAUUAUUAAUUUAUAUUUAAGGCAUCCUCAUGUAUUCAAUUAUAUGUAUGUAUAUAAUUAGUUAAAUACUAUACAUGCUCCUUUGCUGCAUAUAUUAUUGAAUUUGUUUGUGAAUAUCGCCUUAAGAUAACUUAGAGCUCUAUGUGCGUGUUGGCGUGAGUAUGGUGUUGAUAUGGGUAUGGGCAAGAGGACGGGUAGUCACAGCUGGAGCUUGACUCGUUGGGACCCGAUCCUUUGAUAUAUGGAUAAGUCGAUGUGAGCAUGGCUUUGAGUUGAUCUCGCUGGCCCUUGCACAUAGAUUAUUAAGUGAAAGUCCGGCUUUAGUUAACCUUACUAGCAAGUAUUGGAUCAAGAAAGUUAUAUAGGAGAUCAGUUCCUAUAUAAGUAUUGAUAUGAUACAUGGAUGUGUGUGUUUUCUGAAUUAUCUUUUGUGUGAAUAUUGAUUGAAUUAUGUGAACAUAUUGUAUUUCAUACAUAGGAAUGCAUUAGAUUUAGAUAGUUAUAGAAAUUAUAUUUAAAAUCAAUAUAUUACUCUUUUAGUCAAAUGUUCAUUCCUGUUCAAAUAUUUUUCCCAGGUUAUAAGAGAAACGAGUUUAUUUUCUAGUCUAACCUGCAUUUUCCUUUGCAGGUUGUGGUGCUUCUUAGUUUAAUAGCUUUUAUUGUGCCUAUUUAUUUGUUUGUUUAUUUAUCUAUUUGUCUAAUUACUAAAACUCCACUGUGACAUUAAUUUAUAAAAAUAUUGUAUUAAUUAAUGAUAUUAAAUAGUUUGUACAUGUUGUGUUUCAGGGUUGAGUUAGACUCCCAUAGAGAGGAUUUUUUAUAGUUAUUGGAUUGGGUUGGUUCAAAUAAAUUUACAAUAUUUUAUUUUAUUUUAUCUGCAUGUUGGGCCUGGAUUUUGAUCCUGAUUAUGGGUGGGUAUACUGAGGCUUACUACUGAACUUGGGGGCUUUAGGCCGGCCCAUGUCCUAGUGCCGGUCCGGCCCUUGAAAUGUCAUGACAGCAGUGGAGAGAGGCUUUGGCCUAAGGUGGAGAAAUGACAUACAAUUCAAGAGUAAGAGAUUCUUGUCCAUUUGUGAGAGGGCUCUUGCCCAUAUAUUUGAAGACACCAUUUGUUGUGUAGCAGUUAUAGUAGUAAAUAUAUUGAGUUAUGUCUAAAGGAGACUAUAAGGAUUAACUAAUAUAUUUACUAUAAGUAAUUUGAUGUAAGGAUCUCUUUGGUAUAAUUGGGUUAAUGUGUAGUAUGAGUAGUAUAGUUUUGAACUUGUAAUAGAUUAUUUAUUAUAGAUAAUAGUGAAAGAUGGCAUGUUUGUGAAUAUAGCCCAAGGGACGACUAUGGUUCGGUGAUUAAUGAUUCCCAUAGCACUCUGAAACGUGGAUAGAAAAGUUAGGAGACUCCUGAUAGGUCCAAUGGAGCAGGAAUGCACUCUUCUAGAGAAGAGCAGACCGAUGGCGCUAGCGUGGCUCUUAGAGGUGCAUGCUCGAGUGGGUUUGGUGGAGUAAUUGGGACUCUUAGUGACACCAUAAUACUUGAGUUAAAGGAAAAAAAAAAAAAAGACUUCUAUUUGAGGGAAGUAGGCCUAGUAAGCUCAAUGUAGAAGAAAUUCACACCUAAGGGAGAGAUUGUUAGGAAUAUGUAAGUGUGAAAUUUCCACAUCGAAAAAAAAUGGAAUGAGUGAGAAACAUAUAAGUGGGAAGGACUAUAUACCCAAGGUUUUGAAUUGGAUGUGGUGUCAAGUCCAUAAGUGUGUUUUUUCAUAAAGAGCCAUCAAGAAUAUUCUCUCUAGGCACUUUGGACUCCCCGAUUUUUAACAAUUUCCUUUUUAAAAAAAUUGUUGAUAUAUAAAAAGUUGAUUUUGUUAAUUACCGUUUCUAUGCAGCCAACAGCCAAUAGUAAUGUAGCAACUGAUUUCAUCUUCAUAAUGUAAAUGGAUGAUGGUUUUCGGAAGAGUUCUUUCUCUUAAUUUGUCGAAGGGCCAACGAGUAAGCAAUGGCUCUGUAAAAUUAUAUAAAACAUCCCACACCAACGUUUGGACAAAGCUCACUUUUGCACAUAUAUGGCGCAAACUCUUCCAAUUGAUUUCAUCACAAGGUUGGCUGAAGAUCUCCUCUCAAUUCCAAAAUGAGAGGUGUUAUUGAAGCAACAAAUCUGUUCCCAUACAAAUAUGACAUUGGCAGAUAAGUCAUCAGAAAAUAGCAUAACAUUUUGGCUGCAUCAGAGUGAAGAAAUUUCAUGAUUUCAGAAUCUAAAUGUGAGACUUGAAGAUCCAAUAACGGUUCAUUCCCAACUCCUUUAAACUGCACGUCCUCGUGUAGGGGACACGGUGUUAGGUCAGGCUAGAGAACCUCAAAAGCUAACUUAAGGGUGAAGGUCUACUAACCCAUAUAACUAGCACCCAAGACCUCCUUACCAACCGAUGUGGGACUUGGAGACCCAAGAACACAUCAUUCAGGAUCAUGGACCUUGUAUGGAUUAGAUGUAUCGCAGUUUGGAGAUGUAAAGGAUACCCUUGAGACAGGGCAAACAGUGGAAAAAUUUGUGAGAAUAUAUUUCGGUUUCAAACAUGAUUUCCUGGGACUGGUUGCAGCUGUGGUUGUUGGGUUUGGAGCACUCUUUGCAUUUACAUUUGCCAGUUCCAUUAAGGUGUUUAAUUUCCAAAAUAGUUUUAUGCACUAAUUGUACUUGUGCAUUGCUGUAUAUAAACUUUAUUUAUUGCAACG